GGGAGCGAAAAGGAGCGUCACUCGCUUUUUCCGCUGGGAAGGAGCGAGCUCGAAAAGGACUGGGGCAGCAAUUCUAGGCUCUCGUCUGUGCUAACCGCACCGAUAUUGGGGAAAGGGGGGACUUACAGAGCAAAAUGCGACGGAUCGCGGCGCCGGAAUCGAGGCCCCUCCCCCCGAUCUGCGCCAGCGCUCGAAAACCCGCAGCAACGGCCUUAACGGUCGCUGGGCCGCAGAUCCCUUCCAUCCUCGCCCUGCCAAUCAACGGAGCCCACUCACCAAGGCCGGGGAUCUCUGGGCCGGUCUCCUCGGUGUGACACGGAUCCAUCACGCCUAGUCUUUUUCUUUUUUGUUCGGUGACGAUUGAGGAGGAUACGGAGAACGACGAAUAAUCAGCCAAGCGGGGCGCUAAACAAUAAGAGCAGACGAGGUGGUUAAAAGAGAGCUGCGCGGGUUGGCGAAGAAACACUCGCUUUUCCUGCCAGAGCUGGCAUGUAUGAUUUUACCCCCUUCCCGCCGGUCCUCGAAAUCAGGCCACCCGCGCGCCUUCCGCUUUUUCCCCUGGACUCACCAAGCUUCCUCGCGGCUCCUCUUCGCCUCUAUAAAUAACUCCUUCCCCCACUUGUAGGCUUAUGACAUCAGAUUAAGUAACCCCUCCCCAUUCCCGUCCCCGUCACCAGCCAAUCGUUUGGUUACAAAGGAACCGAAGAGGCGGCCUCUUCAGCCCCCUCUUUCCUUCGUUUAAAGGCCCCCGGUCGUUGUAUUUUUCAGCGCAGAAUACUGGACACGGGCUGGGAAAAGCAAGGGGCUCGCUACUUUCUGUCCCCGCUUAAGAGAAAGAAGCAAAUUCCACCGAGCUCCAUAGGACUAAUAGAGUAAGGGAAUAGGGUGGGACGGAGUUGCGGGGCUUACCUCUUGCAGACACUGGAUCAAGUUAUCUUUGUCAAAGGUGGUUAAUCCAAUGGAACGCUUGGCUAACCAACUUUUAAAGGCUGCCUCUGGUUAAUUUCUUCCUUUGAUCCAUGUUUAGUUGGAAAUGAAAUCUAAAGUGGGGCUUUUUGUCAGAUAAAUGUACACGGAACUGCAUCUUACAGUUGGAAAAUAUUUCCUAACACCCAGUCUAAAUCUUCCAUUUCACUUUGAAAACUUUAUUGCUUCAUUUUGAAUGUUGUACACAGAACAUGUUAUUGCUUCAUCCUGGCUGGAAGACAUUAACUGAUACAAACAGCAUUGCCAAACACAGCUUUAAACCUAUUGCAAGUGACCAUGAGGGCCUUGGUAGGAAGAUGAAGGGCAGAGCUGAUCUUUUGUCACUGGGGACCAAGUAUAGGAGUUGGAUACAUUUUACCUGGGGAAAAGAUCUGGGAGUCUUGUCUAGACUACAACUGAUUACCUUUAAUAAUAAAAUUCAGUCUAAACUGUAUGUAGA